GAUGAACGCUGGCGGCGUGCAUAACACAUUCAAGUCGAACGAGGUAGCAAUACCUAGUGGCGGACGGGUGAGUAACGCGUGAGCAACCUGCCCUUGUGUGGGGGAUACCGUCUGGAAACGGACGUUAAUACCGCAUAACAUAGCGGAAUCGCAUGGUUCUGCUAUCAAAGAUUUAUUGCGCAAGGAUGGGCUCGCGUUGGAUUAGAUAGUUGGUGAGGUAACGGCCCACCAAGUCUGCGAUCCAUAGCCGGACUGAGAGGUUGAACGGCCACAUUGGAACUGAGAUACGGUCCAGACUCCUACGGGAGGCAGCAGUGGGGAAUAUUGGGCAAUGGGCGAAAGCCUGACCCAGCGACGCCGCGUGAAGGAAGAAGGUCUUCGGAUUGUAAACUCUUUUAUCAGGGACGAAUACUGACGGUACCUGAUGAAUAAGCCACGGCUAACUACGUG
rnacentral:rRNA from 1 species